UGGGGAAUCUUGCGCAAUGGGCGAAAGCCUGACGCAGCGACGCCGCGUGCGGGAAGAAGGCCUUCGGGUUGUAAACCGCUUUCAGGGGGGACGAAGCCACUCGGGUUAAUAGCCCAGAGGGUGACGGUACCUCCAGAAGAAGCCCCGGCUAACUACGUGCCAGCAGCCGCGGUAAUACGUAGGGGGCUAGCGUUGUCCGGAUUUAUUGGGCGUAAAGAGCGCGUAGGCGGCCGAGUAAGUCCGACGUGAAAUCUGGAGGCUCAACCUCCAGCGGUCGUUGGAAACUACUCGGCUAGAGUCCGGAAGAGGAGAGUGGAAUUCCUGGUGUAGCGGUGAAAUGCGCAGAUAUCAGGAAGAACACCGAUGGCGAAAGCAGCUCUCUGGGACGGUACUGACGCUGAGGCGCGAAAGCGUGGGGAGCGAACAGGAUUAGAUACCCUGGUAGUCCACGCCGUAAACGAUGGACACUAGGCGUCGGGGGGAGCGACCCUCCCGGUGCCGUCGCUAACGCAGUAAGUCG
rnacentral:rRNA from 1 species